AUACUUACCUGGCGGGGAUUUGACUGCGAUCAAGAAGGCAGUUGAUCUGGAAUGGAGCAAACCAUAGCACUCUGGUGUUGUGAAAUUCCAAAGGUCCUUCGGGAUUAUUACCGCAUAAUUUUUGGAUUUGGGAGUAUGCGCUUGCGCAUCUCCUG
rfam:Blastocystis hominis, Singapore isolate B (sub-type 7) whole genome shotgun sequence assembly, scaffold_5